rnacentral:tRNA from 1 species
GGGUGUAGCUCAGUUGCAGAGCAUGUGCUUAGCAUGCAUGAAAUCCUGGGUUCAAUCUCCAGUACCUCCA